rnacentral:rRNA from 1 species
GAUGAACGCUGGCGGCGUGCCUAAUACAUGCAAGUCGAGCGAACGGACGAGAAGCUUGCUUCUCUGAUGUUAGCGGCGGACGGGUGAGUAACACGUGGAUAACCUACCUAUAAGACUGGGAUAACUUCGGGAAACCGGAGCUAAUACCGGAUAAUAUUUUGAACCGCAUGGUUCAAAAGUGAAAGACGGUCUUGCUGUCACUUAUAGAUGGAUCCGCGCUGCAUUAGCUAGUUGGUAAGGUAACGGCUUACCAAGGCAACGAUGCAUAGCCGACCUGAGAGGGUGAUCGGCCACACUGGAACUGAGACACGGUCCAGACUCCUACGGGAGGCAGCAGUGGGGAAUCCUCCGCAAUGGGCGAAAGCCUGACGGAGCAACCCCGCGUGAGUGAUGAAGGUCUUCGGAUCGUAAAACUCUGUUAUUAGGGAAGAACAUAUGUGUAAGUAACUGUGCACACCUUGACGGUACCUAAUCAGAAAGCCACGGUUAACUACGUGCCAGCAGUCGCGGUAAUACGUACGUGGCAAGCGUUAUCCGGAAUUAUUGGGCGUAAAGCGCGCGUAGGCGGUUUUUUAGUCUGAUGUGAAAGCCCACGGCUCACCCGUGGAGGGUCAUUGGAAACUGGAAAACUUGAGUGCAGAAGAGGAAAGUGGAAUUCCAUGUGUAGCGGUGAAAUGCGCAGAGAUAUGGAGGAACACCAGUGGCGAAGGCGACUUUCUGGUCUGUAACUGACGCUGAUGUGCGAAAGCGUGGGGAUCAAACAGGAUUAGAUACCCUGGUAGUCCACGCCGUAAACGAUGAGUGCUAAGUGUUAGGGGGUUUCCGCCCCUUAGUGCUGCAGCUAACGCAUUAAGCACUCCGCCUGGGGAGUACGACCGCAAGGUUGAAACUCAAAGGAAUUGACGGGGACCCGCACAAGCGGUGGAGCAUGUGGUUUAAUUCGAAGCAACGCGAAGAACCUUACCAAAUCUUGACAUCCUUUGACAACUCUAGAGAUAGAGCCUUCCCCUUCGGGGGACAAAGUGACAGGUGGUGCAUGGUUGUCGUCAGCUCGUGUCGUGAGAUGUUGGGUUAAGUCCCGCAACGAGCGCAACCCUUAAGCUUAGUUGCCAUCAUUAAGUUGGGCACUCUAAGUUGACUGCCGGUGACAAACCGGAGGAAGGUGGGGAUGACGUCAAAUCAUCAUGCCCCUUAUGAUUUGGGCUACACACGUGCUACAAUGGACAAUACAAAGGGCAGCGAAACCGCGAGGUCAAGCAAAUCCCAUAAAGUUGUUCUCAGUUCGGAUUGUAGUCUGCAACUCGACUACAUGAAGCUGGAAUCGCUAGUAAUCGUAGAUCAGCAUGCUACGGUGAAUACGUUCCCGGGUCU